CCAUUGCUUGUAGAGUCAAGGUUAUCAGUGACAACUCUCUUCAGCUGUGUCUGGUCAGGUGUCUGGUUCUUGGCCUAUAAAAGCCACUUCCGGUCUCUGUACCUUUGCCAGAUUAUUGUGGUUCCUGUACUCUCUAAUCAAGCGUGUUCCUAUUUCUCCUUCCUGUUGCUGAAUUUGGACUGUUUUGACUUUGCUGCUUAUCCUUCCCACUGACCUCGGCUUGCCUCACUGCGAUUAUCAUCUUUCUGUUCCAG